GGUAUAAAAAGAGCCCGAAACGAUUCCUGUGUCGGGCUUAGGGGAAUGGCCCACUAAUGAGCCUUGCGCUAACUGAUUUAUAUCUGGAAUUUGAUUACACUAUCAAUACUAGCUUAGCUUUGAUGAUUUUCCAGUUU
rnacentral:sRNA from 1 species